UAAAAUCAGACGCUUGGGGGCCGGGCUGGGAAAAACUGGCGGAAAAUAUUAUAACUGAACCCUCAGUGCCAGGCUGUUGUAGAAUCUUCUGGGACAAGCCGUGGAAGUCCCCUCAGGAGGCUUCCGCGAUGUCCUAGGCGGCUGCUCCGCCCGCCACUGUCCUUUCCAUUGACUCACACGCGCCGCCUGGAGGAAGAGGCUGCGCUGGACACGCCGGUGGCGCCUUUGCCUGGGGGAGUGCAGCCCGGGGCUGUGGCGGGACAGCGCUGGGAGCAGGGCCUCGGAAGCUGGGCCUGGGGACCCGAGGUUGGGCGGGGCGCAGGAGGUGGGCUCAGGGUUCUCCAGAGCAUCCCCCUGAGCUGACCUGCAGGGCAGCCGGGCCAGUAGGCACUGGGCCCACGCGGUGACCUGCCUGCCCCGAAGCUGGAGCAGCCACUGCAAAUGCUGCGCUGACCCCAAAUGCUGUGUCCUUUACAUGUUUUAAGAAUAAUUAAUGUAUGUCUGGGUAAGUGUACAGAUUUUACAACUAUUUUGAAGGCGACCUUUUUAACUUUAAACAGACCACUCUGGAGGAGAUGCCUGACCCAGAGCACUUUACCUGAAGUUCGGUGCCCAAAGUGCACCCUUCCUCUGGCUGGUGUCUGUCCCUUCUGCCAAGCCAUGCCUCCUGCAGAGGUGGGCUCCGUGGUGUCUCCCGCUCCGCCCCAACUGUAGAACAGUGUAAAGAUUGUCAACCAGAGGGAGCAGCAAUUCAGAAGCAUAUUUAAGCCAAGUCCUCAAGUCUAGAAAGCAUGAAGCAGGGGAGGCGUUUUGAAAGCGUAAGGACAAAAGACCAUAGGCAUGGAUGGCCGACUCUGGGGAUCAGCAUCGUAAUUUGUCGAGAAGGAGGCCGUGCUGUGCUGCCAGUUAUUAAUGGGUUUAAUCAGUUGAUACAUAGCCCUACUGGCCUAACCAGUAGCCCAAGGCCCCAGAGGAUUUGCAGGUCGUGUCAGAAUUUGAUUGCAGUUCCUUCCACUUGGCAUAAGGAGACACUAUCAGCCUGAUUGGGAGGGUGAUGGUGGGAUGGAGCCUGCCAAGGUGGCGGCGCUGAGCUGACCACACCACUGGCCAUAGAGUGGGAGCCUUUCCUGCCCCCUUAACUGCAGCUAAUAUCAAAAUCACUGGUAUGGGCUCUCUAUCUGCGCUGGAACCUGAGUUUUUCUUUGUCUGCAAUUACUAUUCUUCUGGGUUUAUUUUGCCAGCUCAUUAUCCAGCCCCCUGGAAUCAGGCCACCCAAGUUUAGCAGGUGCUGGGGAGGACCCCAGGGAGAGGCUUAUGGGGGCUACCUGGUGAAACUGCCCUUUCCUUUCUGUUCUAUUAGUGUGAUGGUGUUUGAGAAAAUAUGGGGCUAAGGUUCAGGCGCACUUCACAUGUGCAAAGAUGGAGAAAGCACUCACCUACACGUUUAGGCUCAGAAUAUUGAUUGAAACAUUUUGAAUGAUCAAAAAUAAAAUGUUAUUUUU
rnacentral:lncRNA from 1 species